rnacentral:rRNA from 1 species
AUUGAACGCUGGCGGCAUGCCUUACACAUGCAAGUCGAACGGCAGCACGGGAGCAAUCCUGGUGGCGAGUGGCGAACGGGUGAGUAAUAUAUCGGAACGUGCCCAGUCGUGGGGAUAACGUAGCGAAAGCUACGCUAAUACCGCAUACGAUCUAUGGAUGAAAGCGGGGGAUCGCAAGACCUCGCGCGAUUGGAGCGGCCGAUAUCAGAUUAGGUAGUUGGUGAGGUAAAGGCUCACCAAGCCGACGAUCUGUAGCUGGUCUGAGAGGACGACCAGCCACACUGGGACUGAGACACGGCCCAGACUCCUACGGGAGGCAGCAGUGGGGAAUUUUGGACAAUGGGCGCAAGCCUGAUCCAGCAAUGCCGCAUGCAGGAUGAAGGCC